CGCGGCCUAUCAGCUUGUUGGUGAGGUAACGGCUCACCAAGGCGAAGACGGUAGCUGGCGUGAGAGCGCGAUCAGCCACACUGGGACUGAGACACGGCCCAGACUCCUACGGGAGGCAGCAGUGGGGAAUCUUGCGCAAUGGGCGAAAGCCUGACGCAGCGACGCCGCGUGAGGGAGGAAGGCCCUCGGGUCGUAAACCUCUGUCCGGUGGGACGAACCGUGGGUCGGCGACAGCCGGCUCGCCUGACGGUACCGCCGAUAGGAAGCUCCGGCUAACUCCGUGCCAGCAGCCGCGGUAACACGGGGGGAGCAAGCGUUGUCCGGAAUCACUGGGCGUGCAGGGCGCGUAGGCGGCCGAAUAAGUCGCGUGUGAAACCCCAUGGCUCAACUGUGGAGAGCCACGCGAUACUGUUCGGCUAGAGGCAGGCAGGGGCGAGCGGAACUCCCGGUGUAGCGGUGGAAUGCGUAGAUAUCGGGAAGAACACCCGUGGCGAAGGCGGCUCGCUGGGCCUGUACUGACGCUGAAGCGCGAAAGCGUGGGGAGCGAACAGGAUUAGAUACCCUGGUAGUCCACGCCGUAAACGCUGGGCACUAGAUGUUGGAGGGCUAGGUCCCUUCAGUGUCGCAGCUAACGCAUUAAGUGCCCCGCCUGGGGAGUACGG
rnacentral:rRNA from 1 species